CCUAGGUUCUCUGGUUUACUGGUUUUGGGUUUUUUCACCUGUCAUCAUUUUUAAGGAUAUUUUAGGACUGUUGAGCCCUUAGGCUGUGCUUUUCUUUUCCAAGAUUACACCUGCAUGACUGGAUUUCCAAUUGAAAUCACUCAGCUGAAACCAAGGGGGGUAGCACAUCUAAGAACAAGAUUUGGUCUCACGCUCCUAAACAGGAGUUUUAUUAUUAACUCUUCAAAACCUGCUGACCUUCCAAAGCUGAAACCAUGCAGAAGGGAGGUGUCUUGAAUAAAAUAAAUUUUCCACAUGUUUGGGAAACAAUAAGGAGGAAAGAAAUUUGUGUUGCAUAGUGUAAUGUAAUGUAACUUUUUUUUGUAUGUGUGUAUGUGUGUUUAUCCUGAGAAAAAUCACUGAAUCACAGAAUGAUUGGGUUGGAAAUGACUUUAAAGAUCAUCCAGUGCCACCCCUGCCAUGGGCAGGGACAGCUCCCACUGUCCCAGGUUGUUCCAAGCCCCAUCCAACCUGGCCUUGGACACUUCCAGGGAUUCAGGGGCAGCCACAGCUUCUCUGGGCACCCUGUGCCAGGGCCUCCCCACCCUCACAGGGAAGAAUUUCUUCCUAAUUUCUAAUCUAAAUCUCUCCUCUUUUACUUCCCCCUAUAUCUGUCCAUGUGAAAAUUCCCUAUUUUUCAUAAGCCCCAUUUAAGCACUGAAAGAAUGCAGAAAAUGAAUGUAUCUCAUGGAUCUGAUAAGGUCUAAAAGGCAUUUUCACUGGCACAGUAUUUUUGGACAACAUAUUAUUUUCUUACUGCCAACCAGUGCUAGGAAUAAUACACCAAAUGGUCACAUCAAAGCACCCACCCUAAACCCUGAUCUGUGCUCAGGUAAGCAGGGAAAUUUGUGCAGGAGUUCUCACAGUCAGAAAGGAACACGCAGAACACUCGGUCUCCAUUUCAUUGUGUGGCAAAUAAAUAAUCCCAGACAAAUCUCAGGGGACAGGGCUCAGGGCAGUGAUGCUGUGAACUACCUGCAUGCCCAUGGAAGGGGCACGACGAGCAGACAGCGGGGGAACAAGGACCGGAUCCAUCAGCAGAGAUUUGGAUCAGCUCGGGAAUGAAUCAGCGGCACAAAUCGGGGGAACAUCUCCGGCGCUCCCCCGGGAGACAAACGCGGGGCUCCGGCAUCCCCGCCUGUGCCUUUUUGCGGAUGUACACAGGAGGGCAGCAGACAUUUACUCAGAGUUUGGCACCGCAAUCCCUUUUCCCUGAUGAUGCCUUGAGUUUUAUCUUUCAUGUGUUUCAGGUUCUGUGCUGCCCAGGGGUGCAGCUCACAUUCGGUGUCACUCAGCUCUGCACAGAGCAGGGACACAAAACAAAUCCUUCUCCUGCUGAAGACCAAGGACAACGAGUACAAAUUUUCAGGCCCAAAUGCACAAGCAACAGUGGACAGAAGCGAGAAACAAGAAGGAUGAGACCUCACAAUCUGAAGCUUUAAUUGGACAAUUAAACCCCAAUAUGCAAAUGACCCAAAACUUAUUAAAGUGUGAGACCUCGGGACGUUUUGUCCAUUUUGUGUUCAUUUUGUGACCAUUUUGGGUCCACCUUGGGUGUAACCCUGGCCAGGCUCUUGUCCUGCCCAAGCUGUAUCCUGGAGGUCUUUUAAUAAAUCCCUAUUUUAUUCUCUA